UUUCUCUCUCCAUACCACCCUGAACGUGCCCAAUCUCGUCUGAUCUCGGAAGCUAAGCAGGGUCGGGCCUGGUUAGUACUUGGAUGGGAGAAUU
rnacentral:rRNA from 1 species